rnacentral:tRNA from 1 species
GCCCCCGUAGUCCAAUCGGUAGAGACACGACACUUAAAAUGUUGCCAGUGUGGGUUCGAGUCCCACCGGGGGUA